GUACUAGGUUGUCAUUGCUUCUAAGACUUCUGAGUUGACAGAAGGAGGAAAUAUGUGUACUGGUUUCCUGACAUUUACCACAAUUAUGAUGCUUUGUUGAAAGUCAGUCAUGAUAUAUCAAUAAAUUGGAACUGAGGAAACAGAGGACCAUCUGAAUUAUACUUGGGGGAGAAAUUAUAGAAAGAAGAGACCAGACCACCUGGGAUUUUUGUAACUCAACAAAACUUCAGGCUCCCUGCAUGUCCAUCCAAGUUUGCAUGGGCAACAUGUCCUUGCCAAAGUUCAAAUCUAAGACUAUCUGCUGUGCAGAGGAUAUCCUGCUUGGGAAAUAAGCAGAAUCAAGGGGUAUAAAUAGAUAUUGUGCUAAUCAAAUAUAU